GAUUACAGGCGUGAGCCACCACGCCCGGCUAUACUUAUUCUUAAAGCAUCAGUUCCAUGGGUUAAUUUAUUUCUUUGUUAUUUCUAUAAUGUUAUAUCUUCUUAGCUUUUCAUAUAUUUAUUUUGAUACCUACCUAGGGUGCAACAACUUUCUAGGUUGAAGCAAAAAGUAAUAAUAACCCAGGAUACGAUGUGGGUUACCUAUUCAAUUCUUAAUUUGACAUGGAAACUGAUUACUUUUUCCAAGGGUUUUGAAGAGCCAUUGGGUCAACAGGCUGGGCUGCCAUUUUUUUUUUUUUUCUUGGCUUAAUCUUCACUUGUUACAUCAGUGAAAUUUGUAAGUCUGGGUCUUUUACACAGUCUUCCGUUUUAUUGCAACCUGGUGUCUCUCUCCAAAAUUUUAUACAUUGCAAGUCUCACUUGGCCAAUGUUACAUAACCCAUUGUCCUGUCAUUGUGACAUAUGGAUCUGGUCUGUGAGCAUUAUUUAAGACUGCUAGAUACCUUUUAUUACCUUGUAAUUAGUAGGGUCAUCUAGAGGUUUCACAGGAGAUGAGAGAUUGGGUCUGCGUGUUUUUCUCCUCCCCAAGACAUUCAGCUAAUCCAUCACUGUGAAACACCUGGCAAAAUGUUCCAUCUACUUGGUUACUGGGUCCACAUGCCUGCCAGGGCUGGCUCACCAAGCUCAUCUUCCAUCUGAUUGUCAGUGAGGCCAGCAGUGCCACCUUGUCCUUUUGGUUGUCUUACCGUUUCCAUGACUUCUUAGCUUACUCAUGGGUCCCCGUGAUUUUUCUUUCCUGUUUCUUUACCAUGUCAUGGGCACUGUGGGAUGAGUGUGGAUGCUCUCAUGUGGUGGAGUGAGUGGCAGCUGCUCCUGUAAGAUUCAGGUAUGGGGGUGGGUGCAGAGGGGAAGGUGUAUUCUCUGUGGGCAGGUCUCUCCCAAAGUAAGGCUCCCAAAUACACGAGUCUAAGCCACUCCAUUUUCCCUGGAGUGGAGUGAAUAAGGGGUGGAGAAAGGCCAGGUGUGUUAUUCUGAUUGGGCUCCCUCCAAGAUGAAGAAAACAUCAGAAGUGGAGAAGAAAUAGUUCUGCAUCCCUGCCUCCUGCAACAAGUAAAUUCAGAAUAAGCAAAAAUAAUAGUAGAAGAAGUGGCCAUUCUUAUCUUUCUCCUGGAUUUCAGUGAUAGUCCUUUUGUGACAUUAAAGCUGAUACUGCUUUUCCUUAUCCCAAGGAAGAUCUACUUAGGAACAUCCAUCCAUUUCCACUCUAUUUUGCAUUUUGUUUCUUUUUCAUCAAGAAUUGUUAAGUUCUGUAACAUAUCUUGUCAUUGUCCCUGGGGAUCAUCAUCUGAUUUUUCUUCUUUGCUCUUUUAAUAUGAUGAAUAAUAGUAGAUUUCCUAAUAUUGACCUAUCCUUACAUUGUGAAAUGAAUCCCACUUGGAAAUAGUAGUAUUCUUUUAAUGUUCUUCUGUAUCCUGAUUGUUAAUAUUUUAAUAAAGAUUUUGCAUCUAAAUCUCUAAGUGAGAUUACCCUGUAGUUUUCUUUUUGUUUUUGUACAGUAUUUAUUGUUUUUUUCUAACAUUAUGGUCCAUUUUUGAAAGAUGUUUUGAAGAUUUCCUUAUUUUUUUCUAUGCUCUUGAACAAUUCAAAUAAUAUCAGCGUCACCCCAUCUGGGACCAUGUGUCUGUGUGUGUGUUUAAUAUUCACAAUAACUCUACAAGGGAAGCAUUAUUAUUGUCUUCAUUAUGCAGUUGAGGAAACCAAGGCCCCAAGCAGUUUCUUGCCCAAAGUCACAUAAUGAAUUAGUGGGGAUGACACUUGAUUCAGGGUCAAGUCAGACUCAAGGUCAGGUCAAACUCAAAGUCAAACUUCUAUUUCCCUUAUAUGCUCCUUCAUGCAGCCACUCUCAAGACAGA
rnacentral:lncRNA from 10 species